ensembl:misc_RNA Metazoa_SRP Metazoan signal recognition particle RNA
GCUGGGUGUGGUGGUGUACACCUGUAAUCCCAGCUACUCAGGAGGCUGAGGCAGGAGAAUCGCUUGAACCUAGGAGGUGGAGGUUGCAGUGAGCCGAGAUUGCACCACUGCACUCCAGCCUGGGUGACAGAGUGAGACUCUGUCUCAA